UCAUGGAGAUAGGAAUAACAAAUAGCAUAAUCAAAGCUGGUCUCACAAGAAUGACUGCUGAUAAGACAUCUAGAUAAGACCCCAAUGAUCACCAAGAGUUUCCAUUUAUAUGGGAAAUUGAAAUAGUCUGGCCUACGUUUUCUUCCUGUUACUUCUUCAGUUUCCCUUGUAAUCAAAUUGCUCUGUGAUUACAAGAUCUGAUUUUGAUCAAAUACAUCAUAUCAGAAGAAAGGUGAACCGGGUACAGCAGAGUUUGGAAUUUUAAGGCAAAGAAACAGACACAGUUUCCUGAUUCUGACUGUGACUCUGAUUUGGAUUUGGAUUCAUAAUUUCCCCAUAUUCCAUGGAUACAUCACUUCCCAUCCUCUGUCCCUCUUCCAGUUCUGCUAUGGAAGAUACAGCAUCUAUGCUGACAGAAGUCAUAUCAGAGCCCACAAUUACACUGGAAAAUGAAGUGAAGUGUAGCAAUCUGUCCACUCCUCUACAGAAGGGAAAAUCAGACAAGAGAGUGGAAUGGUCAAGUGAUACAAUAGACAAUGAGCACUUGGGCCGUCGCUCAUCUAAAUGCUGUUGCAUUUAUGAGAAGCCUCGUGCAUUUGGUGAAAGUUCCUCUGAGAGUGAAAAAGAAGAUGAAGAGAACUGUGAUGCUAUACUAUGUAUCUGGGGUCAUCACAGGGGAAGGCGUCGUACCCUUUCCAAUAGUGCUUCUAGUACUUCAUCUUCAAAACCUCCAGACCCACGUCAACCCCUUCCUUCACCCAUUAAGGGUUAAGCAUCACCUUGCUUCUCCCAUCCCUGAAUCAACCUGAACUGCAAUUUAUCCAUGUUGCUAUUCAGGGAUUAAAGAGUUUGACUCUUCUUUGAUGUGCGUGUCAUCUAUCUGCCCAACUAAAAUUAUAUCAAUGAAAAAGGCAGGGAGUGAAACAAAGGACUAAUGGAAUAUUUGGAGUCUCUUAUAUUGCAUGGCAACUAUUUAACAACUUAGGGUUCCAGGCUUCCAAUGCAUCUAUACACUCUAGUUUUUCCUAGAUACCUGAAUUUUUGGCAACUAUCUCUUCUCAGUCCCCUGUCAUCACAACAAAUGUCUAUUUUUCCUACAGCUAUCACUUUCACUAUACUUGCCACAUAUAAUAAUCUUUAUCAUGUAAGUCUCAUUUUAGUACUUUGUAUUAAUUGAAAACUUUGUCAUUUAUUUUUUUCUUCUUUUUUUUUAGAUAAUUCCCUUUUUAUUUGUUCUUUUUGGAUACACAUGACAAUAGAGUGUAUUUUGACAUACAUUCAUGAACCAUAAGUUAUUCUAAUUACAAUCUUUUUCUUGUGGUUGUACAUAAUGUGGAGUUUCACUGGUCAUGUAUUCAUAUAUGAACAGAGGAAAGUUAUAUCUAAUUCAUUCUGUUAUCUAUUUUAUAUUAAAAUAUUUCAGUCUGUUCUUAAUUUUUCCUGGCUAAAAUAUAUCAAUGUCCUGUCCCAAUGUUUCUAUAAAUGAGAUUUUUGUACUAAAUGGAUAUUUCACAUCUGCUAUCAGAAACUCAUUAUUGUAGUUGCAUGGAUCUAGACAGCACUAGUACUACUACACAAGUACUAUUACACUUUAGUUUUAUGUGUAAGAAUAUUUUCUAUUCUCAAACUCUUAUUUCUUGACCUCUGCCUCAUCCUCAAUUCUAAAAGUAUUUCCUGAUAAAAUUAAGACUUAUAAUUGUCCAAAUCUGUAUAUUUAUUCAAAUCUUGGACCUCAAAAUAUUAUGCCUAUCUCACAAUUUAAAAUGGAUUUUAUCCAUCUCCAAGAAUACCAUAAUUUUAGUAGUUCAAGCAUUGCCUAAAAUUCAAAGUCCAGAGUGCCAACUUAGACUUGAAGCAAACUCUUGGCUUUGAGCCCCUGUAAAAAUCAAAAGCAAGUAACAUAUCUAGUGUAAAAUGGCACAGGGUAAACUUUACCAUUUUGAAAGGGAGAAAGUUGGGCAUACAAAUAAAGAAUGGUACCAAAAUAAGACUGAAAUGCAGCCAGGCAACCAUUGCAUUCUGUAGCUCAAUGCCAAGCAUCUAAGGCAUGUGGUGGUGACAGAUAACCACCAAAGGACUUGGGCAGCCCCACUCUAUUGAGCUUGCUGAUUGCAGUCCAUGUAACCUCUCUUUUAGCCUAGUUUUCUCCAGAGUCAGAAGCUUUCCUCAACAAUAAUUCUACAUUAAUGUUAUGUAUUAAUCUGGGGGGUCUACAUUCCAACUUUGACUUCACCUUCAAAGCUUCACACUUUACCUUGGAGGCCUGCAGGAUUUUAGACCCAGCUACAUUUUUGCAUGGACUCUCAGACCUUCCUUUGAAGUCUGUCAAAGUCUUCCAUGGCAUGCUCAUUCAAGAAUCCCAAAUUCCUGCAGAGCCAGCACCAUAUAAAUAAUGAUACACUCUGCUACAACUUUAGAAGAAGAUGAAUACCCAUGGAUCAAAGCUACAGCAGCUUGUGAGUUCCUGGGCAGUUAAACAUGGUGAAACAACUUCCUAGGCCUUUUAUCUUUCUUUCUUUUUGCAAAUAGAGUCUCCCCAUAGUCCAUUCUCUAAGGAAUUAUUAUUUUGACACUCUUCAAUCUGGAAUAAGUAUUGUCUUGACAAUUUCUGAAUUGUCUUCAAGUUAUCUUUCCUAUUGUCUCAGUGCAAAUUAUUUAGUAUAUUUUUAAUGAUUGUAAUCUAUUUUCAACCAUAUCUUUCUUGGAUACAGAUUUACCUGAAUGUUUAUGGCCACAUGUAAGUUUUAAAAUUCCUUUGUCUCUGCUUUCUGCUCUUGAUUAUCAUAAUAAACUUUAUUACAUGCUGCCAACAUUA